UGGGGAAUAUUGGGCAAUGGACGCAAGUCUGACCCAGCGACGCCGCGUGCGGGAUGAAGGCCUUCGGGUUGUAAACCGCUUUCAGCAGGGAAGAAGCGAAAGUGACGGUACCUGCAAAAGAAGCACCGGCUAACUAUGUGCCAGCAGCCGCGGUAAUACAUAGGGUGCAAGCGUUGUCCGGAAUUAUUGGGCGUAAAGAGCUCGUAGGUGGUUCGUCACGUCGGAUGUGAAAGCCCUGGGCUCAACCUGGGAAGUGCAUUUGAGACUAGUAGACUUGAGUAUGGGAGAGGGAAGUGGAAUUCCUGGUGUAGAGGUGAAAUUCGUAGAUAUCAGGAGGAACACCGAUGGCGAAGGCAGGUCUCUGGGCCAAUACUGACACUGAGGAGCGAAAGCGUGGGGAGCGAACAGG
rnacentral:rRNA from 1 species